GGGGCAUUAGCUCAGUUGGCUAGAGCGUUUGGCUGGCAGCCAAAAGGUCAUCGGUUCGACUCCGAUAUGCUCCACAA
rnacentral:tRNA from 1 species